rnacentral:rRNA from 1 species
CCUACGGGAGGCUGCAGUGGGGAAUAUUGGACAAUGGGCGAAAGCCUGAUCCAGCCAUGCCGCGUGUGUGAAGAAGGCCUUCGGGUUGUAAAGCACUUUCAGUGGGGAAGAAAGCCUUGGGGCUAAUACCCUCGAGGAAGGACAUCACCCACAGAAGAAGCACCGGCUAACUCCGUGCCAGCAGCCGCGGUAAUACGGAGGGUGCGAGCGUUAAUCGGAAUCACUGGGCGUAAAGCGCGCGUAGGCGGUCUGAUAAGCCGGUUGUGAAAGCCCCGGGCUCAACCUGGGAACGGCAUCCGGAACUGUCAGGCUAGAGUGCAGGAGAGGAAGGUAGAAUUCCCGGUGUAGCGGUGAAAUGCGUAGAGAUCGGGAGGAAUACCAGUGGCGAAGGCGGCCUUCUGGACUGACACUGACGCUGAGGUGCGAAAGCGUGGGUAGCAAACAGGAUUAGAUACCCCAGUAGUC